AUCAGCAGCCAUAUCACCCUGCAACUCACAACUGGCAACCCACUGAAGCUAAGCAGGUGUGAGCCUGGUCAGUACCUGGAUGGGAGACCUCUGGGAAAAACUAAGGUUGCUGCUGGAA
ensembl:rRNA 5S_rRNA 5S ribosomal RNA